rnacentral:rRNA from 1 species
UACAGAGGUCCCAAGCGUUGUUCGGAUUCACUGGGCGUAAAGGGUGCGUAGGUGGCGGGGUAAGUCGGAUGUGAAAUCUCCGAGCUCAACUCGGAAAUGGCAUUGGAAACUACCUUGCUCGAGGGUUGGGAGGGGGGACUGGAAUACUUGGUGUAGCAGUGAAAUGCGUAGAUAUCAAGUGGAACACCAGUGGCGAAGGCGAGUCCCUGGACAACUCCUGACACUGAGGCACGAAAGCUAGGGGAGCAAACAGG